rnacentral:lncRNA from 1 species
AAAAAAGCCAUUAUCAUUUUUUUCCCUUCAUCUUCAUCACGAAACAAAACAAAAGAAAACAAAGAAACAAAGCUAGGGUAUUCGGCCAUUGUUGAGCUUGAUUCAAGGUGAGUUCUAGCUCGGUUUUUGAUAAUUUUUAUAUUUUUGAUAUCGUUGCUUCGAAUACUAUCCGACCCAUGCUAGAAUUUUUGAUUUUGAUGAAUAUUUUGAGUUAUGCCAUUAAUGAAUAAUUGUGUUCUAUGAUGUUUGAUGAUGGAUUAUGAAAUAUAUGUGUUAGAUUAACAUGUUUUGUCUUUGAAUUUUUGGUAAAUUUGAGUAAUUAGGGCUAAAUUAAAAAAAUAAAUUUUUGAGGGACUAAAAUGAAAAAUAAAUGAAAUGCAUGGACUUGUAUGAAUACAAGGAAGAUUCAGCCUAGCUAUGUUGUUGUGAGAUUUUGUGUAAAUUGUGUUUUAUGCAAUUGGGAUUAAAUUGCAAAAAGUGUAAAAUAUUAGGGGCAAAAUGGUAAUUUGCCUAUUUAUGUGUUUUUGGAUUAAAUUGAAUGUUUUAAUAUUUAAAUUAGCUCAUUCUGGAUAUAUUUAGAUCAAGAACCAAAGAAAUCGGAGUUAGAUCGGGGGAAAGCUAAAAUCAUCGAAUAAUCGUCCGGUUUCGAUUUUUCACCGUCCGAGGUAAGUCAACUAGCAAUUUAAUGUUAUUAAUUAAUAUAUAUAUACAUAUAUAUAUAUCUAUUGUAUUUGGAUGAGCUCAAUUUGAAAGUAUAUAGCUUGAAUUUAAUCAAAGUAAAAAUGAUAUGUAUAUAUAUAAAUAUAUGAUUAAUGUUCGAAUAUACAUAUAUGUAUACACAUAUAUGUAAGCUCUUGAAUUUAGUUGAAGAAUGAAUAUGGCUUAUGUAUGAAUUCUUGGUUAUUAAUCGAAAGUAAUGUAUAUAUAUAUAUAAGGUUCGAAUGUAUAUAUAUAUGUAAGUACAUAUAUGUACAAACUAUUGGAUUGAUUAAAAAUAUAUAUGUUAUAUUUGCAUAAGUAGUUUUGAAAUGGUAUGUACAUGUGAGUUGAAAUUUAUAUGUAUAUGAUAGAAUUGAAUGAGCACAUAAAUAUAUAUUUACAUGUAUAUGUUUUUGUAUUGAGUUUGGGUAUAAUUUUUAUAUAAGUUUAUAUGAAGUUCAGAAAUACAAAUAUAAUUGAAUAUGUUUUUGUGUUAAAUUUAGGUAUGACUAUUAUAUAAACUAUGUAUGAGACUCGAAUAUAUACAAACUUAUAUAUGUACAUGUUUAUGUAUUGAAUUUAGGUAUGAUAAUUAUAUAAGUUUAUGUGAGAUUCAAUUAUGUAAUUAUAUUCAUGUGAAGCUUUUGAAUGGAGUUGAAGGUACAAAAUUGUUAGCUUGGAUUACUAUAAGAUGUUCGAAUGUAUGAUAUUAAUAGUAGGCCUUAAUGUAUUAAGUUAUAUAUUUGUAUAUGAUCAUAUGUAUAAUUAAGUUAUUGAGCUGGAUUCAAUAUCUGAACUUUAUAUACCUAUGUGGUUUAAAGGUAUAAUUUAUAUAUAUUGAGCUAAUUUUUUAUACAUGGAAUCUUAUAUACAUAUACAUUUUUAAAGUGAUUUGUAUUUAUAUAAAUUGAGUGUUCAGGCUCGGUGCCUAGCAAGCUUGAUGCCAGUGAUAUGUUUCAGACUUUAAGUCUAGCAGGCUUGUCGCCGGUGAAACAUUUCAGACUUUAUGUCUAGCAGGCUUGACGCCGGUGAAAUAUUUCAGACUUUAUGUCUAGCAGGCUAAGUGCCAGUGUAUUGAAUCAGGCCUUAAGCCUAGCAGGUUUUGUGCCGGUGAAUCUAUUCAUAUCAUGUGUUUACAUGUAUCGAAUAUGUGUAUGAUUUAGUCAUAUAGAUUUAUAGAAUAUGUAUAUACAUUUGGUUAUUGUGUUUGAUGAGCAUAUAAACAUUAGUUUAUAUGUAUUUGAUGAGUAUGGAUUUAUAUAUAUAUAUAUUAAAUUUUAUGAAAUUGUUAGGUAUAUUCGCAUUCAGAUAGAUGUAUGUGAGAAAUCUAUAUAUGCAUUUUGGUAAGUAUAAAUGUAUUUGGUUAUAUUCGUUUGAUGUGUAUGUAUAUAUAUAUUCGGUUAUAGAAUUUGUUAAGUACAUAAAUAUGUGUUCGGUUACACACAUAUGAAGUGUAUAUGCAUUCGGUUUUAGGUAUUUGAUAAUGAUGUAUGCAUUUGUUUAUAUGUAAAUGAUAUAUAAAAGUAUUCGGUUGUAAGUUUUUGAUGAGUAUUUAAAUAUACAAUUGUUAUGCAUAUUGUAUAUACAUAUUUAUAUAUUCAUUGGUAAGCAUUCUACGAGUACAUAUAUUUGAUUAUGAAUAAGAUGAUUAUGAGUGACAAAUAUUCAAAUAGUAAUAUAUGUUGUAUUUGCGAUUUCAAUAAGUUUAAUUAUGAAUUUAUAUUAUUCUUCUUUUAUAUAUAUUUUAGUUAUGCUAUAGACUUACUAAGCUAUGUAAGCUUACUUUGUUUGUUUACGUCUAUUUGUUUAUAGAUAAAAAAAAAAUCAAAUCAAGCUUCAAGCUCAGGGAUCGUCAGCAAGUUUAUCAUAUUAUCUAUUGUCUCGGUAUUUAAAAUAUUUAAAUUCUAACUAUGGCAUGUACAGACUAGAUAAAUGUUUUGAAGGUCGUACUUUGUUGUAUUGUAUAUGAAUAUAAUAGCCAUACUAAAAUGGUUUAUUUCCUUAUAGAUUUGCUAGUUUGUAAUGUCUUUACUAGUUGGAUUAUAAUGUCUUUGUUUAUUAAAAAUGGUUAGAAGAGAAGUUUAACAUUUUGCAUAUUUAAUGUAUAUGUAUAAUAUAUAUGUAUUGAUUUUGAGAUGGUUGUGUUUUGUUCAGUAAUGCCUCGUAACCCUAAUUCGGCGAUGGAUACGGAUUAGGGGUGUUACAGAUACACCUUAUGUGUCAGUAUAAUUGCUUUGGCUUGCUCGAUAAUGCACAAUGUGUGCCAAUAGCUUUUUUUUGGUAUAUCUGAUGAGGCACUACGGUGCCAGAUUAAAAUCCAGAUUGUCUAUUCCAUGUAUUGGACUUGAAAUUCGAGUCAUGUUAAUGAGGAAUAUACAUUUUAAAUUAGUUAAUUAAUAUUUGAAAAUGAAUUCGACAUUAUGAAAUUGUAUUACAAGUACAUAUUUGCGAUAUAUAUUUAUUGAUAGCAUGUGAAAGAUCAUGCGAACCACUUGAACAAUUCUUAGGAUUGAUAUGGAAUAAUAAUGGUAGAUUUGAUUUUAGUUCCAAAAUGAUAUACAUACUUGAUUGAAUGUAAUAGAGUGAAAAGUAAUGCGGAUGUUAAGUACAUUGGUAUGAUAUGUUAAUUAGAUAUUAAUUGAUGUAGUAUAUUUAGUUGGUUCUUUUGGCAUAAAUAAUGUAUCUUGUAGCAUAUGUAUAGUGUUAUAUGUAUUGAAGAAUGACAUAAGUUAUAUGUGAAUUAGUUUGUAUUGAAUUGGAAUUGAUUGUAUGCAUUUGAUUUGAAAUUUAUAUUAAUUUAAAUUGAAUCAUGGAAAUACCACUAAGAUUUAUUACUCAGCGUAUGAUUUUUUUUCUCCGUGUACAGAUUCAGAUAUUUUUUGAAGCCUAAGGACUCGAAGUUAGCAUCCAAACUAUUGUUUCUAACUCAACAAAUUUUGUAAAGUACCAUUUCGAUUGUAAAUGUCUUGUACAUAUGGUUUAAGUCGGUUUUGUAUCGAAAAUGGUCAAAUUUAGAACUUAGUUACUUAACGUCACUUUGAAGUAUCAAUUUGGUAUGUUUUGCCUCAUAUACUGUUGAAAUAUUGUUUUUUUGGUUUUGAAUGUGAUGUUAUACGUUAUUAUAGG